rnacentral:rRNA from 1 species
CAGCUUUUAAAAGGGGGCGUAAGCUGUCGCUAUGGGAUGGCCCCGCGGUGCAUUAGCUAGUUGGUAAGGUAAAGGCUUACCAAGGCGAUGAUGCAUAGCCGAGUUGAGAGACUGAUCGGCCACAUUGGGACUGAGACACGGCCCAAACUCCUACGGGAGGCAGCAGUAGGGAAUCUUCCACAAUGGACGCAAGUCUGAUGGAGCAACGCCGCGUGAGUGAAGAAGGUUUUCGGAUCGUAAAGCUCUGUUGUUGGUGAAGAAGGAUAGAGGUAGUAACUGGCCUUUAUUUGACGGUAAUCAACCAGAAAGUCACGGCUAACUACGUGCCAGCAGCCGCGGUAAUACGUAGGUGGCAAGCGUUGUCCGGAUUUAUUGGGCGUAAAGCGAGCG